GGCUGGAUGGCCGAGCGGUCUAAGGCGCUGUGUUCAGGUUCCUCUUGGAGCUUCGCAGUCUUCGGGCGUGGGUUCGAAUCCCACUCCAGUCA
rfam:Trichosporon asahii var. asahii CBS 8904 unplaced genomic scaffold scaffold00033, whole genome shotgun sequence.